ACGUAGGGUGCGAGCGUUAAUCGGAAUUACUGGGCGUAAAGCGUGCGCAGGCGGUUAUGUAAGACAGUUGUGAAAUCCCCGGGCUUAACCUGGGAACUGCAUCCGAGACUGCAUAGCUAGAGUAUGGGAGAGGGAAGUGGAAUUUCAGGUGUAGCGGUGAAAUGCGUAGAUAUCUGAAGGAACAUCAGUGGCGAAAGCGACUUCCUGGACCAAUACUGACGUUCAUGUGCGAAAGCGUGGGGAGCAAACAGGA
rnacentral:rRNA from 1 species